UACGUAGGGGGCAAGCGUUGUCCGGAAUCAUUGGGCGUAAAGAGCGUGUAGGCGGCCCGGUAAGUCCGCUGUGAAAGUCCAGGGCUCAACCCUGGGAUGCCGGUGGAUACUGUCGGGCUCGAGUCCGGAAGAGGAGUGUGGAAUUCCUGGUGUAGCGGUGAAAUGCGCAGAUAUCAGGAGGAACACCAAUGGCGAAGGCAGCACUCUGGGACGUGACUGACGCUGAGGCACGAAAGCGCGGGGAUCAAACAGG
rnacentral:rRNA from 1 species